rnacentral:rRNA from 1 species
AGCUUGCUCCCUGAAGUUAGCGGCGGACGGGUGAGUAACACGUGGGCAACCUGCCUAUAAGACUGGGAUAACUUCGGGAAACCGGAGCUAAUACCGGAUACGUUCUUUUCUCGCAUGAGGGAAGAUGGAAAGACGGUUUACGCUGUCACUUAUAGAUGGGCCCGCGGCGCAUUAGCUAGUUGGUGAGGUAAUGGCUCACCAAGGCGACGAUGCGUAGCCGACCUGAGAGGGUGAUCGGCCACACUGGGACUGAGACACGGCCCAGACUCCUACGGGAGGCAGCAGUAGGGAAUCUUCCGCAAUGGACGAAAGUCUGACGGAGCAACGCCGCGUGAACGAAGAAGGCCUUCGGGUCGUAAAGUUCUGUUGUUAGGGAAGAACAAGUACCAGAGUAACUGCUGGUACCUUGACGGUACCUAACCAGAAAGCCACGGCUAACUACGUGCCAGCAGCCGCGGUAAUACGUAGGUGGCAAGCGUUGUCCGGAAUUAUUGGGCGUAAAGCGCGCGCAGGUGGUUCCUUAAGUCUGAUGUGAAAGCCCACGGCUCAACCGUGGAGGGUCAUUGGAAACUGGGGAACUUGAGUGCAGAAGAGGAAAGUGGAAUUCCAAGUGUAGCGGUGAAAUGCGUAGAGAUUUGGAGGAACACCAGUGGCGAAGGCGACUUUCUGGUCUGUAACUGACACUG